UCGUUUAAAGCCAUUACGUCAACAUCCUUAGCAAAAUUUUCGAUCGCUCUAAACAGUGGCAUUAGUACCCUCCGGUGGCAAGAAUGUUGUCACAAGAGAGGUAACACCCAGGAUCAGGGACAAGCCAAAGGCAUUUGCUGCAAUCCUCGAUCCCACGGGCUGCAUCUCCCAGGGUCUUAACACUCUCCCGAAGCAGAGCUACUUUCCCCCAAGUAUUUUACAACCUCCGAAACC
rnacentral:rRNA from 1 species